CGUCCUGUGGCCAAGUGGUGAAGGCGCCUGUCUGACAAGCAGGAGAUCGACGAUUCGAAUCUGUCCGGGACGA
rnacentral:tRNA from 2 species